UCCUACGGGAGGCAGCAGUGGGGAAUAUUGGGCAAUGGGCGCAAGCCUGACCCAGCAACGCCGCGUGAAGGAAGAAGGCUUUCGGGUUGUAAACUUCUUUUCUCAGGGACGAAGAAAGUGACGGUACCUGAGGAAUAAGCCACGGCUAACUACGUGCCAGCAGCCGCGGUAAUACGUAGGUGGCAAGCGUUAUCCGGAUUUACUGGGUGUAAAGGGCGUGUAUGCGGGAGAGCAAGUCGGACGUGAAAUUCCAGGGCUCAACCCUGGAACUGCGUUUGAAACUGUUCUUCUUGAGUGAUGGAGAG
rnacentral:rRNA from 1 species